GUGGGGAAUCUUGCGCAAUGGGCGAAAGCCUGACGCAGCAACGCCGCGUGAGCGAAGACGGCCUUCGGGUUGUAAAGCUCUGUCAGGAGGGACGAAGCCACUCAGGUGAAUAGCCGAGAGGGUGACGGUACCUCCAGAGGAAGCCCCGGCUAACUACGUGCCAGCAGCCGCGGUAAUACGUAGGGGGCAAGCGUUGUCCGGAAUCAUUGGGCGUAAAGCGCGUGUAGGCGGCCAUCCAAGUCUGGUGUGAAAGCUCGGGGCUCAACCCCGAGUCUGCACUGGAAACUGGAUGGCUUGAGUCCGGAAGAGGAGACUGGAAUUCCUGGUGUAGCGGUGAAAUGCGCAGAUAUCAGGAAGAACACCGGUGGCGAAGGCGGGUCUCUGGGACGGUACUGACGCUGAGACGCGAAAGCGUGGGGAGCAAACAGGAUUAGAUACCCUAGUAGUCC
rnacentral:rRNA from 1 species